UCUCAGUAGCACCACCUGACCAAGUAUCAUCUGCUUUUACAUAAGAAAAUGUCCAGUUCUGUGUACAUCACUGGUCAAACCUCUAAUAUGAUCUUCAGGAUGGAUCAUAUGCUCCCUGUCAGCCCUGUUGAGCAGGAUUAGUGUCAGCUCCCAUGCAGGAACAUGAUAUGGCUCAGGAGGGUCUACAUCCUAGUUAAAAUGCAAACAGGAUUACUGACAAUAUAUUCUAUAAUCCAGAGAAAUUUGUCACUUAUAAACCAAUGUACUCUAUAUAAUCUGUAUUU